rnacentral:rRNA from 1 species
UACGUAGGGGGCGAGCGUUGUCCGGAAUUAUUGGGCGUAAAGAGCUCGUAGGCGGUGUGUCGCGUCGGCCGUGAAAACCUGCAGCUUAACUGUGGGCUUGCGGUCGAUACGGGCAUCACUGGAGUUCGGCAGGGGAGACUGGAAUUCCUGGUGUAGCGGUGAAAUGCGCAGAUAUCAGGAGGAACACCGGUGGCGAAGGCGGGUCUCUGGGCCGAUACUGACGCUGAGGAGCGAAAGCGUGGGGAGCGAACAGG